UGCCUUUCUUUAUUCUUAUUUAUCCUUUUAUAUAUAGAGUUAAUUCCUAUAAUGAGAGAGACAAGGGAAAGUGAGUCAUGGAUAAGGCAUAACAUUCACACAUGCACCAUUGGUACAUGCAUUUCCAUAUCCCUAUAUAUACAUGAUAUUAUGAUAAAGAGGGAUUCAUAGAGUGAAAGAAUUAAGGGAAAAGCAAAGGCGUUGAUACAAAGCACAAUGGGCUGACCUUGCGACUAUCGAUGGGUUCUACGCAGAGCAAGUAGAUACCAGCGUGGGAGCCUACUAUUACAGGGAUAGAAGGCUGGGUAUGGACUCAUCCUCUAGGCUGCAUAUGGCGCUCUCUCUCUCUCUCUCUCAAUAUGUUGAUUAUCUAAUGAUGUAAAUAAGUUUAUCCCAUCUCUAACAAUAUGGACGAGGUGGUCUAUGUACAUGUACAAACGCUUAUUCAUACAAUGAUAAACAAUUUGUAAAUUUCAUUAAAGAUGAUGACGAGCAAUUUAUAUCUUGGUUGAAUAUACGUGUAGCACUGUGGUGGCCAAGCUUCGAAAUGCGACUUUGCAGGAUAUUAUUAGGAAGAUAGAUGUAAAAGACUUGGUUAAAAAUACAAGUUAUAGAGUGUAUCUUGUGUUCAAGCUCAAAGAAGGGUUGAAGGGCCUAGAGCAAGCCAAAGCAUUGGUUAGGUAUGUUGAGGACAUAGUUGAUGGAGCAGAUCAUCCGGAUGCCACUGUAUUCCUCAUCAAUAAAAGAGAAGCUGAUGAUAUUGGACAGGUUCCACAAGCUCUAAAAUAUGGGUGGAAGGAGAUUAAACUUGGAGAUUUCACCUGUGACGAGGGAGAUAAAGGUGUGGUAGAAAUGCAACUCUUUGAGAAGAAAGAACUCAAUCCCAAGUCCAGUUUUAUCGUCAAAGGAAUUGAAGUUCAUCCGAUUGUAUAGAACAAGUAUUUGUCCUAAUAUGAUGCUCUACCAUUAUAAAUAAACUUGACAAGUGCUAUUUCACAUGUGUUUUACCAUGGUUUUCCCGUGGGUAAAAAACAUGUUCGAGUAUUGAACUAAUAUGAUAGUUUUUAUUUAGUCA